rnacentral:rRNA from 1 species
UACGUAGGGUGCGAGCGUUGUCCGGAUUUCUUGGGCGUAAAGCGCACGUAGGCGGUUCGUUAAGUCGGAUGUGAAAGCCCUCGGCUCAACUGAGGAAGUGCACCCGAAACUGGCGAGCUUGAGUACGAAAGAGGAUCGCGGAAUUCCCGGUGUAGAGGUGAAAUUCGUAGAUAUCGGGAGGAACACCGGUGGCGAAGGCGGCGAUCUGGGUCGAUACUGACGCUGAGGUGCGAAAGCGUGGGGAGCAAACAGG